AAAAAGUUAGUUUAGGUUUUUCCAUAAGAUGUUACAGGAAAACUUGAACAAACUUUUUGGC
ensembl:miRNA